CCUACGGGAGGCUGCAGUGAGGAAUAUUGGUCAAUGGACGAGAGUCUGAACCAGCCAAGUAGCGUGAAGGAUGACUGCCCUAUGGGUUGUAAACUUCUUUUAUAUGGGAAUAAAAUGUUCCACGUGUGGGAUUUUGUAUGUACCAUAUGAAUAAGGAUCGGCUAACUCCGUGCCAGCAGCCGCGGUAAUACGGAGGAUCCGAGCGUUAUCCGGGUUUAUUGGGUUUAAAGGGAGCGUAGGUGGAUUGUUAAGUCAGUUGUGAAAGUUUGCGGCUCAACCGUAAAAUUGCAGUUGAAACUGGCAGUCUUGAGUACAGUAGAGGUGGGCGGAAUUCGUGGUGUAGCGGUGAAAUGCUUAGAUAUCACGAAGAACUCCGAUUGCGAAGGCAGUUCACUGGACUGCAACUGACACUGAGGCUCGAAAGUGUGGGUAUCAAACAGGAUUAGAUACCCUAGUAGUC
rnacentral:rRNA from 1 species